CGAAGCCCUUUCUGGCAAGCUAAACCUCUCUCCGCCUGGUCUACCUUUCUAGAAUCACACAGAACGCAGUAAGAAAAAUGUGCACGCUAAGUUGCUUCAGUCGUGUCAAACUCUUUGUGACCCCUUGGACUAUGGCCCACCAGGCUCCUCUGUCCUCGGGAUUCUCCAGGUUAGAAAAAGAACACUAGAGUCACCAGUGCCCAGAUGAAGAGAGAAGAGAGAAGGCUGCCGUUUCCUUAGAGGAGCCGUGCAGCCCCCACCCCAUGCAUCCUCCUGCUUCUACCCAGGAGGGAACCACGACCCUGACCCUGAGAGGGCUUUCACGUUUCUACACACAAUCCAGAGUCAGAUCCCGGAGUCCCAAGCGACAGACCCAGCUGAGACUGUAUGAAUUCUCUAGGUUAAUUAGGGGAGGGCUGACAUCUUUAAAGCAUGGAGUCUUCAGUCCGUGUACACUGUCUAUGUCUGUCCUCCGUUCAUGCUCAAUACAGAUCUGUAUUGAAGUCUCAUAAAUAUUUGGUUAUUUUCC
ensembl:lncRNA